GAUGAACGCUGGCGGCGUGCUUAACACAUGCAAGUCGAACGAAGCUAUUAAAAGGAAGUUUUCGGAUGGAAUUUUAAUAGACUUAGUGGCGGACGGGUGAGUAACGCGUGGAUAACCUGCCUUAUACAGGGGGAUAACGGAGAGAAAUUUCCGCUAAGACCGCAUAAGACCACAGCACCGCAUGGUGCAGGGGUAAAAUAUUUAUAGGUAUAAGAUGGAUCCGCGUCCGAUUAGCUAGUUGGUGAGGUAGAGGCUCACCAAGGCGACGAUCGGUAGCCGGCCUGAGAGGGUGAACGGCCACAUUGGGACUGAGACACGGCCCAAACCCCUACGGGAGGCAGCAGUGGGGAAUAUUGGACAAUGGGGGGAACCCUGAUCCAGCGACGCCGCGUGAGUGAAGAAGUAUUUCGGUAUGUAAAGCUCUAUCAGCAGGGAAGAAAAUGACGGUACCUGACUAAGAAGCCCCGGCUAACUACGUGCCAGCAGCCGCGGUAAUACGUAGGGGGCAAGCGUUAUCCGGAUUUACUGGGUGUAAAGGGAGCGCAGACGGCGAUGCAAGUCUGAAGUGAAAGGCGUGGGCUCAACCCAUGAACUGCUUUGGAAACUGUAUAGCUUGAGUGUCGGAGGGGUAAGCGGAAUUCCUAGUGUAGCGGUGAAAUGCGUAGAUAUUAGGAGGAACACCGGAGGCGAAGGCGGCUUACUGGACGACAACUGACGUUGAGGCUCGAAGGCGUGGGGAGCAAACAGG
rnacentral:rRNA from 1 species